CACGAUAAAAUGCGAGAUGGGUUGUCAGAUCCUACACCACCCUACAAAAAUGCUCCGACACUCUGAUGAAAGUCCAGUCAAUAAGCACAGUGACGGACACAGCAAAACAAAAAAACAUUUCACACACUCCGAGGCCAAGAUGGUGGGACCAGCUGCUCUCCGCAAGAGAAUUCUCACAACCACAGCUCCAACUCGCACUCAAAUCAAAGCAAGGCAUCAGACACCCCUCACGAGCCUGCAGACUACUGGUCGGAGCACAUCAGCUCCUCGGGCAAGAAGUACUACUACAACUGCAGGACUGAGGUCUCUCAGUGGGAGAAGCCCAAAGACUGGCUGAGAGAGCAAAGGCAAAAAGACCCGUCUAAGAGAGAGUCCAACACAUUCCCUAAAGACCGGGACUACAGACGAGAGUCUGUGGACACAGCCACCACAAAGAGUACUUCAGGGGACAAGUCGUCCUCCAACACUGCUCCUUCCCAGUCAUCUUCCUCCACCAAUCCGGGCCUGAACCAAGCCUCUGGCUCUAACCCCACCCCCUCCUCAUCCUCCUCCAUGGUCCCCGUGUCCCCCUCUGUCCAAUCUCAGGCCUCGGGCCUGCUCCAAGACCCCGCCCUCCUGCGGCAGCUCCUCCCAGCGCUGCAGGCCACCCUGCAGAUGAGCAAUGGCAGCAUGGACAUGGCCAAGAUCAAUGAGGGUGAUCCUCAUGCUGCUGUUACCCAAGCUUCCCUGCAGUCUAUGCUUCAUAAACUCCUCACUGCUGGACCGUCUGCUUUCAACAUCACUGCUCUUUCUUUCCUGCUGCUCAACACUCCAACCAAGCGGCCCUGCAGGCAAGUCAAUCGCCCAUAUCACUAACGUCAGACGCCCUCCUCGCCCCGCUCAUACGUGUCGCCCAGGAAUGGCACGCCCCAGACCAACCUCCUUACCCAGAAACCCCUGCUCAGUAUGCCACCUGCCACCUCCCAACCAAAGGUUACCCCAGUGAAACCAGGACCAGUUUCUCAGCAGGCUUCAGCAGAGAAACGUCCAGAGGACCCCCGAACUCUCCUACAGCGGAGCAGUCAGGGGAGUCCGCCACCAGGACCUAACAGCAACUCCACCGGCGGCCACUCUGUUCCCAACGCUGCCUCAGGCCUCACCAGCGCUCCCGGCUCCUUCACUCCCUCGCUGGCCUCUCACUUUGACGAGAACCUUGUCAGGCACAUCCAGAACUGGCCCGCAGAGCACAUCGAGAAGCAGGUUGAUGAUGUGUGUUUGAUGCAACCCCUCACCCGGUUCUGCCUUUCUCGUUCAGGCAGCACGGUUACGGAGGAUGCCCACAACAUGGGCAGUCUCUACAUGUCUGAGAUCUGCACCGAACUCAAAAACCUCCGGUCUUAGUCAGAGUGUGUGAGAUCCAGGCCACGCUGCGGGAACAGAGAAUACUGUUCCUGAGACAGCAGAGCAAAGAACUGGACAAGCUGAAGAACCAGAACUCUUACAUGGUCUGAGUACCUGUGUGGGAGAUGAAAGACGGUGAACCGCUUUAGGCUGCGGGCGAAGCCUGCAACGCGGUCCUCUAUGCCCCAUGUGCCCCAGUCUGAACACGUCCGUACCGUCAUGAACCAGAGGGCGUCUGAGGAUGCGGACAAGAGACUGGGCCUGUUGAAGACUUCAUGUCAUGGGUUACGCAAUGAAGCGUACCACUGCCCAAGCCCCUGAAAAAGUGUAGAUUUUGUCUAGGCAUCCAAGAUGUAAAUUGUUCUAUGAAACCACAGGCUAAAAUAAUACAGAAGCCGUGUUGAGCUUUUCAUGGACACCCAAACCAGUGGAUUCUGACAAACCUACAGGUCAUACCUUUUUUGUUACCUGAUAAACUUGGCUGGCGUCCUUUUGGAUUUGAGAAACUGUUGGACUGUGUUUGUUGCGGUUGAUAGCCAGUUUUGGUUGGGAAUGCAUCUUUUUCUCCUCAGACUUGUGGCUUAACUGAAGUUGAGAGGGAACUGAAGGGACUCCGAUUGACUUGCGAUGUAUGAAUCACCAACUGAUUCCAGGAAGACUCAAAUGCCAACACUUCAGCAUAGACUUGAAGUGGUGCGUCACAUUGCAGAUAGGAUAUCGAACAGCCCACAGGUUAACAGCAUAUUCUUAAAAGCCAACUUUGAUUCCUUCCAGACUCAUACAGUUGCUUCUAUUCAGUGAGGAAUCCUGAAUUUAGCAGUCCCAGUUCACUGAGUACUUUUUAAAAUGUGAGCCGACAAAGAUUCUUAGCUGCUUGACAUGAGAUGUCUGUGUCGGCCCACGCUCCCUCCCCCCUGGAUGGGAAUAGUCUGUAGACUUAGUUACCUGUGACCCCUCUUACGUUGGGCCAGGAUACUUCUCAGAACAUACGGUCCCAUGGCGUAACCUUUAGGUCACCUCCCAGUUCCUAUCACGAACCCCCAAUGGGAUCAUGCGAUAAAGGGCAACGUUCUCGUCGUCCAUGACCUCUGCAUCAGAACCCCCCUUGAUCUGUACUUGAUAAUUUUCCCCCUCUUCUGCUGAACGUUUGAUGUUUUUUUGUUUUGUAAGCUUGUCUGUUUUGUCUUCAUCUUGAGUAAUUAAUUCCUUAUGUGCAGUUUCUCUCGAUUGUGAAAAAGGGGUCUUUAGUUUCACGUGGUUAUGUAAACCUAAAUUAUUGUUGCACAUUAUUAAUUGCGUUCUUGUGAAGAUGAUGGAAGAGAGGGUGGAGAUGAUCCUAUGUUCAUGGGACUCACCUUUCUCUUGGCUAUACCAGCUAAUCCAGUACAGCACUAGUUAAAUGGAGUCCGUAGUUGACGUUCGCUACAUUUGUCUUACUGAAGUUAAACUUUUUUUUUUUUUUUAGGCCUCAGUAAUUAAACGUAACUAUUUUACACAACAAUGCUGUCUCACUCUUUCAUAUCCACAGACUUAGCUACUCCAUCCUCAGACUUCUCCAACCAAUCAGUGACAUACUGUACCGGCCAAAACAUUGGUCUUCAGAACUGGAGAACUCACUUAUCUGAUAGUUGGGGAUUAGAGGUUUUUGUGAGGAUGGGGCGACCAUAGCUUUGUAUAUUAUUUCUUAAAAGUAUAUGAGAAUAAAAUACAUUAUUCUACCACA